CCGGCUACCUGGGCGGGUUGCCCGGCGGAGGGAGCCAGGCCGGGCCAGGCCGCCUCACACCCGCGGUGGCGGCGGCGGCGGGGGCGGGCCCUCCGCGCGCCCUCUCCGGGGAGCCACUCCCUGAAGAGCACUGCCAAAACUGAGGAUACCUAUGGUCAUGGUGGAGCCUGCCUGACCCACGUUGAACCAAGCAGUUGGGUGACUGCCAGGACAACUUACUGCAUUUCAGAGGAAUUUUACUGAGGAUGAAAAUUUACUGAGGAUGAAACAGAGAUUCAGAGUUCUACGACUCACCCCAAGAACCACAUAACUAACAAAUGGAAAUUUGAACCCAAAUCUGACUUCAUCCAUUUCUGUCUCACAGCAGAGUCCUGGCUUAGGUGAGUCCUGGUGGUCAGUAGUCAGCAUGGAAGCUAGCUGGCUAAUAUGCAGGGGUGAAGGAAGGCAUGCCCACCGCUGACCCUGGGCACAGGGAACCCGGCAUAACACCAGUGCUCACAGAGCAUGGCGGAUUGGUUUAAAGUGGUGCCGCCCCUGUCUACAGCCUGGUAUGUAAAGACAAUUGGGAUGAGGACUAAAGAUAAAACAUACUAGGAGACUGACUUCAAAUGGAGUAUAAGAAGGCUUCUUUGGGUCUUUAGAAUUCAGCAGAGGCCUUAAGGAUGUGAAUAGAUGGUCAGGUGCAUUACUAAGGGUGGGCUGGAGGAAAACACUUUCCAGGCUGGGGUAAAAGCAUGUACAAAGGUCCGGAGGCCAGAAAGAGGUGGUUGAGUUUAGGCCGAGAAAGGGCUGGAGUUUACCUAGUGACAGGAAGCAUAGGGAAGGUGAUGGGAAGCAUAGGGAGGGUGAUGGGGCUGAGCUUUCUCUGCCAAUGCUUGCAGCCUGCAGGCUCUAAUGCACUUUCAGACUGUUUGUCUAUUUUCUCGGAAUUUCCCAACAUGACCCCAAAAGUUCCUUGCUUUUACUCUUGCCCCUGAAGCUAGACCCCCUAGGGGCUCCAGAAAUCUCGACCAAUAGGAGUUUGUUGCCAAGCCUACAGUCGGCAACAGGGCCCUAUUUCUCUUUGGGAUUUCUGGGCUAGCAUUCCAGGCCUCAGGAACCUCCUUCCACCAAAGGGGAUUCAGGAAAAGCAGGGCACACAGAGGGUGUGGCUGGUGUGGGCUUCCCCCAGCUCAGCAUAUAUAUGGGUGCGUAGGUGUUACUGGCAACAUGUGCAGCUGCACUGUCUGGGAGGAACAGCCCGGUACCCACACAAAGCACACGCCUGUGACAUCACCCAGACCAUCCCUGCUUGGGCCUAUUUCUGUGCACACUCAUGUUUCAGCAUGCCCUGGCCUACGCCAUUCUUGUGCCUGGAGUGUGGGGGACUGGGAAAAAUCCAGUCCAACUACAGCCCAACUUCCACACUCUGGCCUGUGGGCUUGUCUUUGCAGCUGUUUUAUUUUAUAACAACUUAGAACAGUGGUUGGCAUAUUGUGAAUGCUUUGUAACUAAUUUAUCCAUGUUGGCUCAUUUCUUCCUCAUUACAGCUCUGGGAAUUUUCUUAUUCCCACUUUACAGAAGAAAAUCUGAGGCCCAGAGAGAUGAAAAGACAUGUACAUGGUCACACAGCCAAUAGGUGGCAGAGAUAAGAUUCCAAGCCAGGCAUUCUGGCUCCAGAGUCAGUGCUGUAUCACCUCCCAUGUACGAACACUGUCAAUAUCCUCACCCCUUUCCCAAGCACUUCUAUCUGAUGCAUUUUCCUUUUUUAUUUUGUUCAGUGUUGUCCAGGUUGGGCUCUUUGGGAAGUGGACUCUAUGACAGGUUAGCGGGCAGAGUGUUGAUUAGGGAAUGCCCCUGGGAUCAGCGCUGUGGAGGGGACAGGAAGGAAACAGAAGUAGGCACAGGGGGAAAUUAAGCUGUGAUGCAGGCUUGAUGACAGCCUCAGCCAACCCCCAGGGAGCUCUGUUAUCGGCACUGAAAUGGAUUUGGGUUGUCUGGGAAGAGUGCAGCUUUGGCCACAGGGCUCUGUGCAACUGAGGUGAUCACAGGGGAUUGGCAGCUGAGGUUUCCUGCCACCAGCUCUCCCAGCAGUUGGGGCAACAAGGCCUUCCUGGAAGGGGUGUCUCCUUGGUGGUACAUCACUAUGCUCACCACUAAUGUAUUUCUUUCCUGCCACUUAAAAAAAAUCAGAAUACCUUAAACAAAAAUAUUCUACUGUAAAAAUAGGAUAUGAGCCAGGUACGAUGACGCAUGCCUGUAAUCCAAGUGGCUCAUGAGGCUGAGUCAGGAGGAUCGUGAGUUCAAAGCCAGCAUCAGCAACAGUGAGGUGCUAACUUAGUGAGACCCUGUGUCUAAAUAAAAUACAAAAUAGGACUGGGGAUGUGAUGUGGCUCAGUGGUUGAGUGCCCCUGAGUUCAAUCCCUGGCGCAUACACACAAAAAGGGAUAUGAGAUUCUAAAAGGGGGACUAUAAUAUGGCUAAUAAGGGUUGAUGCAGCUGUGACAGCAUCAAAUAUGGCUGAGCUUCCUGGCAUCCAAAGCAGUUACACUUUCUAUUCUGAUUUCUUGGGCAAGAAUUUUUUUUCCUGAGAUUAAAUUAUAAGACAAGUUUCUCACGUGGAUACUUAUUUGGCUGAAACAGAAGACUCUUCUCAGUAGAUUAAUAGCAAAUGCUAACGCAGUUUUCAUUUGUUCUCUGUAAUGAUGGUGAAUAAAUAUAGGAGGGGUAAUUUAAAAGCAUAGUUAAAUGAAGCCCCUUCCACAGAGGAGGCAUAUUUACUGACUUGCAGUGUCCAAUUUAAUCCAUGCAUAAAACUGUGUUCGUUUUCUUUAAAUUGUUCUUUUUACUCAGUUUCCUUGGGAGACAUGCUAAGUAGCAGCACAUGGCCAGUACUUCCUAAGCGUUCAUCUUGAUGUACCUUGAGCUUCACACCCUAACCUGCAAUCUAGGCUCUUGACCUCUGGCCUCCAAAUCUACCUAUGGUUCCCACUUAGUCAUUGGCUUCACAAUUUUUUUUUUUUUAAAUGCAGUGUUAGGGAUCAAACCAAGGGCCUCACUCAUGCCAAACAAGUGCCCUACCACUGAGCCACAUGCCCAGCCUGUGCAUCACUUUUCUGAGGUUAUGUCUUCCUGCUUUUCUCCUCACCGGGUGUGUAUUCACAGGCCCUCAAGAGCCCUGUUUACUCACUCCAGGCAAAAUCAUACCCAGCCCAGUGGCUCCCAGGGUUUCUGCUCUUUCCAGUCUUUGCUACCUUCUUGCUGUUUGGCCCCAUUGAGGCUGUGCUUCAUGCUACCUACUGUGAUUGCUUCAUAGAGGUCGAAUUAUGGAACUGAAGAAUGAGAAGGGGAAACUGAGACCAGGGCAGACCUGCCCCUGCCUCCCCUUGUCUUCCAGCAGUCAUCCCUGGUGCCACCUCUAGAUUGCUUAGACAGCAGGGCUGAAUCAUACCAAGUUCCCACUCCUCCAGGAGUGGGUAUAGAAAUGCCAGCAGCACACACUAAUUCCCUGUGAUAUAAGGGCAUAAGAGCAUAAGAGACACCUGGCCUUAUCUAGACUUGGUGGCUGUGGGGAUAGAGCAAAGUAAGAGAUACUGUAAAUGCCUAAAAGAUAUAGCCCCUUCAAACAGCAAACCAACACUCAUUUUCAAAAUAAGUUUAAGGUGUUUUGCAGGAUUUUAUUUUUGCAAUUAAAAUACUAACAUUUUUAGAGAUGUAUGGUUAAAAGGUCCAGAUGUAAAGCUAUUCAGUGACAUAUACUUUAGAUCACAUUUUAUUUAAAACAAUUAUUCAUUUUUGCAUAUCAAUUUCUAGCAUAUUUCCAGCAACUCUUCCAUCAAUCUUUGAUUUCCAUGUAUUUUUUACUGAGAGCCUUUUUUUUUUUAAACGCAUGCCUUUAUUUUAUUUAUUUUUAUUUGAUGCUAAGGAUCAAACCCAGUGCCUCACAGGUGCUAGGCAAGCACUCUGCCACUGAGCUACAGCCCCAGCCCCUGAGAGCCACUUUUUGAGUCAUCUAAUAUAUUUUCUCAAAACACAUCACCUUCGCUGCCUUUUAAGUGGUUUGAGCGCACUUUGAAAAAUCAAUUUUAUUGAGGAAUACAUGCAAAAUGCACCUAUUUUAAAUGUAAAGUUUAAUAAAGUUUGACAAAUAUAUUUCCUUUGUGAACUCCACCCAAUCCAGAUGCAGAACUUUCCCUUACCCCAGAUUUCCUCUUGCCCUUUGCAGCAUCCCCCCUUCGCCCCCCCACUCUCAUCAGGCAACCACUGGUUUACUUCCUGUCACUGCAGGUGAGUCUUGCCUAUUCAUAAACAGAAUCGUAGAGUGAUUCAUCCAUGUUGUUGCAGACAGGUGCUGUGAUGCUGUCACUGGAAAUUUUAAGUAUUGUUACCUUCUGGUAUACUGCUAAAACAGAUUUUUCCCCCUCCAUUUCUCCUGUAGCUAUAAGUGAUUUUCAUAAUAAUCACUGUAUCAUUUUAAACAUUUUAUGUAGAAUCUUAAAUGUGCAUAGACAGGGAAGUACGUAUGGUGUGCUUCCAUGGUCAUCCAGCUUUGGCGGUGGUUAUUGUUUUCUGUGGUGCUGGGGAUGGAACCCAGGGCCUCACAUAUGCUGGACAAGGGCUGUACCACUAAAUUAUACCUCCAGCCCCAGGGAACUAGGCACACUUGUUUCAUGCCAAACUUUACCCACUAAACCCCUCCCAUGUUAUUUUGACACAACCCUCAACUCUUUGUUAUCCAUAAAUAUUUGUAUUUAUAAAAUAUUGUUUUUAAAAAAUAUAUACAUAAGUACAAGAUAAUUACCAAGCCUAAAAAAUUUUUAAAAAGUCAAUUGCUAUUUAGUGACUUUCAAAAGUCUUGUUUACAUGGAAUACUUGGGAUUGGUGAGGAAUGAUUACCAAAUCUAUGUAAACUUCUUCACCUCCUUGUUUACUCGUUUUGUCAGGGGUCUACUUAUAAGCAUCUAAAACUAGCUUGACUGAGAUCAUUUCAGGGUAGUGUUUCUUCCAAAAAAGUGCUUUUCAGUUCAAGUUAAAAAGUGUCUCAUUAUAUGAGGGAAUUCUAAGGACUGAAAUAUGUCAACUUGUUAUUUUCCCAGAAGACAAUACUCCCUCGUCCCUAUGGUGGAAAUGCCCAUAUUCAGUGUUUAUGCCAUUUAGAAAGUCAUUUUCUCAAUUACUGGAUGUGGGAUUGAGACAAAGAAGUGAAGAAUGGGGCUGCCUGGUUUCCAGGUUGGGGGUCUAGUAGAGGUAGUGCCUUUCGCUGAGGUAGGAAAGCCAGGCCUGACAGUAGUUCCAGAGUUGAUGUUCAGGUGCCCCUGGAUAUCCCCUGCAGAGGUUCAAUGUCUGGAGUUCAGGAGAAAGGCUGGAGGUAAUCAGGAGCCAUCACCCUUAAUUGUGACUGAUAUCAAGAACAAGUAGGAUAGGAGCCAUAUACCCUUAAGACCUGAUGUUAGAGGUGACUCAGGAACAGCCUGAUUGGAAUAACGUAAAACCAGGAGGUGAUGAGGUGGUAGCCAUAAAGGCAUUUUUAGAAGUGAGCAGUCGCAUCAUGUAAGAUUCCUUUCAUGUGAAGUGUCCCCAAAAGACAAAUUUAUAGAUACAUUAUGGAAGCUGGAUAUGGGAAUGCAGAUGACUGUAAACAGGCAUGAGGAAUCUUCGUUGGGGGGAUGGGAAUGUUCUACAACUCAUUGAUGGUAAUAGAUGCACCAGUCAGAGUCACUAAAAUGUCCUUGUAAACUUGAUUUGCUGAUUUUUUGAUAUGUAAAAUGCUUCAGGAAGAAUGUUUCAAAAAAGGGUCAGCAGCACCCAGUGCUAGAAAGAAUUUAAGAUGCAGAAUGAAGGGCCCAUUUAUUGGUCACUUAGUCACUUGUGAUUGUGGUCAAAUUGCAGGGAGGGGAAUGGAACAGACAAGGCAGGACAGAUGCUAGUUGCAGUGGGUGCAGCAGAUGACUCAUGGCAGGUGCUUGUUUGUGAAACAAAGGAGAAACAGAGGUGGUGGUUGGAAAGGCUGAGAGUUGUGAAGUUUCUUUUUUCAUUUUUUAAUGUGUCAGCCUGAGGUAGACAUGACAGCUUUUGGCAGGGAGCAUGGACAAGACUUGCUGACCAGAUGUGGAGGGGAGCACAGAGAGGAGUCAUCUCCCAGAGGUAUAGCUUAGGUAGCAUGUGGGGGCCCACAGGGUUUCUUAGACUCUGCCCAUCUGGCCUCUGCUCUUGAACGUGACUGGAAGUGAGAUCUGCUGCAUGGUUAGGCAAACGGGGAGGUUUGCUUCAGGCUCAAGCACCCUUCAAGGUCCUUUACAUCUAUCCCCCACCUCUCCUUAUCUAGUUAGUUCUCAUCCUGUGACCAGGUCAGCUUCCCAAUUCCCGCCUCUGUUCUCCCAGGUCUGCUGACAUUGCCUGGGAUGCCCUUCAUAGCUGUCUUGAGCAAUGUCUAGUUGCUCUGUGCCUGACCUCAUUAGACUUGUAAGGUCCUUUUCAAAAAGGUAGGCUCUACUUCCUGCUCAAGGUCUUCACCUGCAAGGCCUAUUAUACACGAUUUCCAGUUGUCAACUAGUUAAGUCCUACUCAAGUCCCAAAUCUUAAGGUCCACUUUCUUGUUACAUAGCUACCAGCCAUAGUGUGUGCACCAUAGUUGUAUACCAGAAGAGCCUGAUGGUAUUCACACUCUGUGGUCCAACUAUCUCAACACUGCAAAAUUUAAAAAAUACUUGGUUACAAUCUCUUGCUCCAAAGCAAUGGUGGAGAUACAGCCCCUUAUUCCCUGGGGUGAGUACUGCCUUCCUUACUAGCCGGUGAACUACAGGCGGCCAAUGAUGCCAAAGUUUCUCAACUGUGGACCCAGCACCAGUCCUGUCCCCCAGCUCCAGGGAGAACCAACAUCAUCAAGGAAAUGAAUAUGCUUGCUCAUGCCAACAAGCUAGAGGGCCCAGGACCCUUUCACCAAGUGACCAAUACUAACAACUCUGGCCUUCCUGUCCCCUUGACCUGGAGACCUCACCUUUCAUUCUUAGUCCCAGUCUUAACUAACCUAGGAUAAUGCAAGAAAACAAAUUGUAUAGGGACUAGCAUAUACUUAGAGCAGUUAGAAGUGUUCACUGACUACUCCCUCAUUCAACCAAUCAAUGCAGGGAGAAAUCUUCAUUCCACCUGGGAAGGGCUUGUAGGAUCUGGUCCUCAGUCUGGCUCACUACUCUCUUUUCAUCCUAUCAGCUUAGCCACAUGAACAAAGCCUAAGACAGAUACCUCCUGCUUCUGGACAGUACACAUGGAAAACACUCAAAAAUCUGCCUCCCCAAUACUUAGCUCCAUCUUGCUCAACAGCAUGGCUUCAGAUAGUUCUUGCAUGCCACCUGUUUUUGUGGAUUUCCUACACUUUCCCUUUACUGGAUGUGGGCUUUGUAUGUCUUCCAUUCCACUCCAUACCCAUUAAAAGUAGGACACAUGAACCCCCUUCUAGGCCGGACCCAGCCCCAUUAGCUCCGUGGGAGGAGAGUCACCCUUGCAGUUAGAUCAUAUCCCAUAAGAAGUCCCAGCCUCAGAGCCCCAUAUCUGGCCUGGGGUCCUCAGUAACAAAGAGGCAGACACAAAAAGUUUCCGU